rnacentral:rRNA from 1 species
AGUGAACGCUGGCGGUAGGCCUAACACAUGCAAGUCGAACGGCAGCACAGUAAGAGCUUGCUCUUACGGGUGGCGAGUGGCGGACGGGUGAGGAAUACAUCGGAAUCUACUUUUUCGUGGGGGAUAACGUAGGGAAACUUACGCUAAUACCGCAUACGACCUACGGGUGAAAGCAGGGGAUCUUCGGACCUUGCGCGAUUGAAUGAGCCGAUGUCGGAUUAGCUAGUUGGCGGGGUAAAGGCCCACCAAGGCGACGAUCCGUAGCUGGUCUGAGAGGAUGAUCAGCCACACUGGAACUGAGACACGGUCCAGACUCCUACGGGAGGCGGCAGUGGGGAAUAUUGGACAAUGGGCGCAAGCCUGAUCCAGCCAUACCGCGUGGGUGAAGAAGGCCUUCGGGUUGUAAAGCCCUUUUGUUGGGAAAGAAAAGCAGCAGGUUAAUACCCCGCUGUUCUGACGGUACCCAAAGAAUAAGCACCGGCUAACUUC